rnacentral:lncRNA from 1 species
AUGAAAUUUUUGGUUGUUGUUGUUUUGGUCCUUGAACGUGAUUUUAGCAGCGGGUAACGUGUCCUCACUCCUCUCGGGCUCCCUCGGAGGGUUUUCAGAGAGGUCUCAUUGCAUCCAUUUUCUCAGAUCCUCUCCUUCUUUCAGGGGAAGGACCUGGGGCCCUGCAGGCGCCCCGGGGCGCGAAGGCGGCGGCGCGGGUUCUCGGGGGUCUGCGCGGUGGCCGCGGGGGCUCCCGGGCGGCGGCGGCGGCGGUCCUCCGGGCCUGGACGCCGUGAGGGGAGUAAGCGGAUUUCCCCAGCAAGAUCUCCAUGUACAGCUACAUCUUUAGGGCUGCUCGGGUUAAUAUAUGUCGUCAGAGGCUCCUCACGCCAAUCCCGGGGCGGCAGGGGCGGUGCCUCUCGCUCUCCGCAAUAAAACUUUUUGAUGUUCUCGUUGCUAAUUGUCGAAGUCCUCUUCCAGGAUUGGCUGCCCCUUCACAACCAUGAGAUAAUUAAAACUGGUGGGGGGGGGGGGGGCGGGUUAAAAAAACUUUUUUAUCAGUCAGAGGUUAAUGCAAGUGUUUAGCAGAUGCUUUACUAUUAAAUUAUCCGCCACCCCCCCCCCCCCAAGUCUCAAAUCUUGAAGAAUCUCAAACCAGGGACACCAGCCCCGGCGACGACGACCCUGGGCGACUACAAAGCGCAGGCAACCUCGAUUCCCCGAAUUGGUGGAGUGGCCGGCAUCGGUGUCCCCCUGGUUUCACUGGCCUGUUUGAAGGUGCAGAUCAUUCUCCGGGAAGUACAGCUGAAACCAGUCCUCCUCUGCCCUCUGGGGGCCUUCAUUUUCCCAGCCUACAUCUGCUUGUGACUCCAGAAAGACAGACUUCAGAUUGGCCAAGGUGGGGAUUGACUCCCAGGAGCUGUCCAACAACAGUGGCUAGACUUGGUUCUGGAGUCUCCUAGUUGCAAGAAACAAGACCAUUAGGCCAUGUCCUCAG